rnacentral:lncRNA from 1 species
GGAUAGCCUCCCUCCCUCCCUCGAAGAACUCCUUUUAUACAAUUGCCCAAUUCUAGAGAAGCGAUGCAAGAAAGGGACCGGCUGCUAUUGGCCCCUCAUUUGCGAAAUCCCACAAAUUACAUUAGGCAUGUAUAUAGGCUGAGGCCUGGCUCUUUCAUCAUCUGUGUCCUUCCCCUGUUGUUGUGUGCACCUCCAUCGCCACCGCUGCUUCGGCUCUCCACUCCGUCGUCGUCCUCACCUCCAUCUCCAUCUCAUGAAUAUAUUCCAAUUAAAACAGGUAAUCAAUCUUUCCGAUCACUACUCUUCAAUACUCGUAGUCACUUCUCUUCUCAGAUUUGGCAUCACUUCUCCCCUCUCCUUUUUUAACUGCUUCUUCCCAUGUUUUCAUCGCUCCAGCCAAAAUUUAGAUUUCUCAGCUGCUUUUUUUUGUUUUGUUUUUUUUUUGGCAUUCUGAGCAGUUCUCCGCACUCCUCCGAUUCUUUCGUUCUUGCUGUGCUCCGCCUCAUUCUCCAAGAUUCUCUCAAUCUUGCUCGCCUUUCAAGUUACAUUGGAAUUCCCAUCAGUGAAGUUUGCCGGUACCAUGCCUAGAAGAAGAUGUUGCUGAAGGUGGGGACCCUGAGAUGUGAGAUUGCUUCUCAUUGUAGAGACGAAGAGGGGAGAUGCCAUCUGCAGGCUCAGCUGUCAUUAGCAUCUUUGACCUUUUUGUGGGAACUCUUUCCCAUGAUGGUUCUCAAAUUACUCGCUGGGGAUAGAGGUAUGUAUAUAUGUUCUCUUUCCCUGUUUAUUAAUUAUCUGUUCUCCCCUGAUAUUCAAUCCAUUGGACAUAAUUUAUAUGAUAAAUAAAUAGCAAAAGACAAGUUUUGAAAAUGUUUGAAAGUUGCGUCGCAUCGAAAAAGCGUAGCUCAUAACUUCAUAUGGAUAGAGCAAGUUCAUGUCAUGUUAAUGGCAGUUAGGUGCUUUAAAUCCUCUUUCCUGCUUUAGUCUGGAAACUCCAUUUGAACACAUUUACAAAGUUGUGGAAUGUGCCUGAAUACUCUGAUUUCGAUAAGUGAAAAUUACUUUUGCAACAUUCACCAUAAGUGGAAGGAAAUCGAUAUUGACUCUCUGUCUGCAUUUACCGAUGCAAAGUACUUAUUCCGACACAAGCAAUCUUCUCAUUUCUGAGCAUACUGCGGCUCACGAUGGAAUCUAUGGGGCAAACGAAUUUUAUUGCAGCUCAACCCUCUGUUCCAUCAUUCUACUCACCAUCCAAGAUUAAGGAAUGGUUUAGUUGGUUUGAGUAUAGACACAAAUGAAGGCAUUUUGUGGACUGGGUAGCACUCAAUGAAAUCUUUCCCCAUUGUUCAUUUUGUAAUUAUUGCUAUUCUGCUUCAUGGAAUCAAAGAAGUGAGUAAAUUUGCUAUUUCUUUUGACUGGCUGUUUAAAAGCUGCUUAAAAGGUGGGUAAUAAUCAUGGGUUAUAAUCAGAAUCUAAAAAGAAUUUCUUCCGAAUGAUUUAGCAUAUUGUCGUCAUAUCCAACAAAUUAUCCAUGUUCUACUUGUUCAUUUCUAGCAUUCUAUCAAAACACACGUCAAUGAUUAAAAAUUUCUCGAAUGUUAUGUUGUUUGUUCUCAUUUCCCUGGUUAUCUCAUUGACGUGAUUACGUCCACCUUCUGUAGUGUGUGCGUAAGGGAUCAGUUCCAUGCAAGGGGAAUGUUAAGUUAUACUUUUUAUAUGCAUUGCUUGACAAGAUUUCUAACAGCUUAAGCUUUUACAAAAAUUUUUAGUCUAACAUGCAGCAAUCAAAUCAAAUGACAUGACCAAUCAGCAAACCCUAUGUUCUUGUUUGGUUUUUUCUUCUAGUAACUGUGGGAGACUUUCAGAUAGGGAUUAUAAGCUUCUCAAAAAAUCAAUGAAUUACAACAAGAUUUAAAGCUUGGACAGUUAAAAGCCCCUCAUAUGCCAGCGAACUUUAGCUUAUUAAAUCUGUUAUUCAUAGUGUGGUUAAGUUUUAGCGUCAACUCCUUUUGUUGCCCAAGAAAGAUUUUAAAAUGGUUGGCAAAAGUGUAGAGCUUUUCUUUGGAAGGGAGAUUCUUAUACUAAAGAGGGAGCAAAAGUUAGAUGGGACACCGUCUGUCGUCCUAAGAAGUCUCAAGGCCUUGGCAUUCAAAGACUUGGCAUUCAAAGACUGGAUUUGUGAAAUCUUGCUUGUAUUUUAAAGUGUCUGUGGAGUUUUUUGUUGAAGUGAAGUCUCUAUGUUUUUCCUGGCUCUAUAGCUAUCAUCUUGACAGUAGACCACAUGCUACUUAUGCUUUGAAGAAGUUAUUAAGAGUUGAGAAUAUUUUGAAACCCCACAUUAGAUAUAUAGUUGGAAAUGGAGAUAAUAUUUCUCUUAAUUUGAUUUGUGACACCGUACCGGGAUCUUGCCCUCAAGGAGAAUAAUUUAUGAAUCCUCUCUUCCUUCGCAUGCCAAAGUAUCUGCCGUAAUUUAUAACUCUCAUUGGAAACAUUAUGUUACUUAAAAAGGGUGUUUUUAAUUUUUGCAGAUAGCAAUUGGGCAAAACAAGGGGCUGUGAAAAAUGCCCCUUCCAUCAUCAUCUCCUUCUCCUUUGUUGUCUGCACCUUAAUCACCUAUGCUUCAUCUCUCCGCUCCCUUGUCCUCAAUUUCAUCACUGUCUUCAUCUCAUGAAGAUGUCAUUAAAAUCAGGUAUCAAUCUUGCCAUUUACUACUACUCUCUACUCUUCUACUCGUGGUCACUUUUCUUCUCAGAUUUGGCAUCGGUUCCCCUAUCAAUUGAAAUGCUUCGCAUAAUUUCUUUGAUCCAGCAAAAAUGAAAUAAAAAUCUGGGAUGUUAUUAACAGACUGUUGCAAUUAUAUUUGGAUUCUCAGCUUAUUUCUGCAUUCUAUCAGUUUUCUGCACUCAUCCAAUUCUUUUGUCAUCACUGUGCUCUGUCUCAUUCUCCAAGAUUCCCUAAAUCUUGCUUGCCUUUCAGAUUACAUUGGAAUUCCAUUUGUGAAUUGUGUUGGUAAGACCCAGCGACCUAUAGAAAGGUCUAUAUGCCCUUCCUUCACCAUCGCCUCACUGGUAUUAAGUCUAGGAGGAGAAGAUGCUGAAGGGGACCCUGGAUGUGAGAUUGCUCCUCAUUGUAGAGACAAAGGGACAUGCCACUGUGGGCUCUAUUCUUAAGAUCUGACUUUUGUGGAAACUUUUCCAUGAUUAGUUGGUUCUCAAAUUACUCACGAAGAUAGGUAUGUAUACAUGUUUCCUUUCCCCAUUCAGUAAGUGUCUGUUUUGCCCUGACGUUAGAUGAAUCUAAAGUCUAGACAUAAUUUAUAUGAUAAGUUAAUAGCAAAGACAAAUUUGAAAAUGUUUGAAAAUUGCAUCUCCUUGAAAAAGUGUAGCUCAGAACUUCGGAUGGAUAGAGCAAGUUCAUGUCAUGUUAGGGUGCGUUUGUUUGCGUUUCUGUUUAAAAAUUGUUCCAGGGAACAGAAAUAGAAAAAAGUGUUUCUGUUCCUGGGAACAAUUUCUGAACAAAAAAAUGCGUUUGGUAAACUUGUUCCGGGAACAAAAAAUAAAUAGAAACACGUUUGGUAAAUUUGUAUAAUUUUUUUAUUUCUUUUAUUUUUUCUAUUUUUUUCUUAUUUUUCCUUUUUUCUUUUUUCUUCUUUUGGCCGGUCGCCGGCCUUGGCCGAGGCCGGCGACCGGUGAAAGAAAAAAGAAAGAAAAAGAAGAAAAUUUUCAAAAGUGUUUCUGAUUUGUGUUUCAGAAACAAGAAACACAAAAUUUGUGUUUCUUGUUUCUGUUUCUUUUUUGUUCCUGGGAACAAAAGAACAAAAAAACAGAAAACAGUGUUUAAAAACAAAAAAAAAGAAAUACAAACAGAGCGCAGCCUUAAUGGCAGUUAAGAUGCUUUAUAUCCUCUUUCCUGUUUUAGUCUGGAAACUCCAUUUGAACACGUUUACUAAGUUGUGGAAUGUGUACCUGACUAAUUUCCUUAUAUCUCUGAUUCUGAUAUGCGAAAAUUACUUUUGCAGCAUUCACCAGAAGUGGAAGGAACUCAGUACUGGCACAAAGUACUUAUUCCCACACAUGCAAUCUUCUCGUUUCUGAGCUUCCCUCUGAUGCAGAUCGAGAUCUAUGGGGGAAACAGAUUUAUUGUACCAUUCCAGCAUUUUACUCACCAUCCAAGAUUAAGGAAUGGUUUAGUCCGUUUGAGUACAGACACAAAUGAAGGCAUUUGGCAUCCCAGAUGGCACUCAAUCAAAUUUUUUUCUUGUUCAUUUUGAUUACUAUUCAAAUUCUGCUUCGUGGAAUCAAAGAUGCAUAGACCUGAAGUCGCUGGUUGGCAAAGUUUAAAGGGUAGGUAGAUUUGUUUCUGCUAUUUCUUUUGUCAGGCUGUUUGAAAGACACUGGUAAUGAUCAUGGGGUAUAAUCAGAAUCGAGAAGGAAUCUUUUCUCAAGGAUUAGCAUACUGUCUGCAUUCUUACUUGUUUAGUUAAAUUUCCAACAGAUUGUCCACUUUCUAGUUGUUCAUUUCUAAUGUUGUACUGAAGCACAUGCAAUGGUCCAAAAUUUCUUGCCUAUUAUGUUGUUUGUUCUCCUGUUCCACGGUUAUCUUAUUGACAUAAUUACGACCACAUUUUGUCGUAUGUGUCUAAGGAAUAGGUUCUACCUAAGGGGGAGUGUCAAGUUAUGAAUUAUGUAUACAUUGGUUGGCAUGUUUCCUAACAAGCUUUUAGGAAAUGCAACAUGCAGCAAUCAAAUCCGACAGCCUGACCAAUCAGCCAACCCUAUGUUCUUGUUUGGUUAGUUCUUCUAGUGAUUUGGGAUUGUCUGGAGGACUUUCAGAACAGGAUUGUUGGCAUUGAUUGAAUUACAAUGGGAUUUAAAGCUUGGACAGCUAAAAGACUCUCAUAUGCCAGCUGACUUCAGCUCAUUAAAUCUAUUGUUCAUAAUCUGGUUAACAAGUAGUGUCAACUCUUUUUGUUGCCCAAGAAAGUUAUUAAAAAGAUUGAGCAAAAGUGUAGAGCUUUCCUUUGGAAGGGAGAUCCUGAUGCAAAAGAGGGAUCAAGAGUUAGAUGGGACCCUGUCUGCCUUCCUAAGUAGUUUGGAGGCCUUGGCAUUUGAAGACUGGCUUUGUUAAAUCUUGCUUAUGUUGAAGUGUCUGUGGAUUAUUUUGUUGAGGUGUGGGUCUCUAUUUUUGCCUAGCUCUGUAGCUACCAUUUUGACUGCAAAGCAGAUGCUACCUUGGAAGUUAUUAAAAGUCAGGAAUACAAUGUAACCCCGCACCAGAUAUAUGGUGGGUGAUAGAGAUAAUUUGCUAUGAUUUGUGGCACCAUACUGGAAUCUUGCCAGAAUCAUUCUCAAGGUGAAGAAUUUAUGACCCUUCUCUUCCUCUGCAGGCCAAAGUAUCUGCUGUAAUUCAUGGCUCUCAUUAAAAGUAUCUGCUAGGUCUGAAGAGUUGGUUUCCAUCCAAGGUGCAGUUUGUGGUGUGAAUUUUCCUAAUUCCUCAGCUGCAGAUGAAGUUGUAUGCAAAGCUUCUUCAAACGGUUGCUAUAACUCCUUUGUUGCUUGCAAAAUUGUCAAAAGCAGGAGUAAAAUGUUGACUGGCACAAACUUGUGGGUUCUCCCCUAAUGUGCCAAGAGCUGGCUUUUUAUCUUGGUUGGUAAUACGUGAUAAACUCCCCACUUUUAAGAGGAUUUACGGUUGGUGUGUUGGGAGUACUAGAUCUCUCUGAUUGUUCUGUAAUAUAAGCAUGGAAUCUUGCUCUCAUCUAUUUUUCGAGUGUAGUUUCUCUAAUCAAGUAUGGAGCAAGGUGCUGCAGCUUUGUUGGAUUCAUGAAACUCCAAGAGUUUGGGAUUACGAAUUUGGUUUAAUAUAACAAGCUGCUCAGGGAAAGAUUUUCAGAAGUGUCUAUUAGAGUUUAUAUGGAACCACUGUAUCUGUUAUAUCUUGAGUCCAUGAAUAGUUUGUAUCAGAUACAGGUAGUUCCUUUGGGUUGUUGAUGUAAUCAAAAUUAUCAAGCUUGGAAUCUAAGAUUGCGAAAACUAUCCAGCUAAAGGUUUGUUUUUCUACCCAAAAAAAUAAAAAGUAAGCUUUGUUUUAAGUUGUGCUUAUUGUUGUUUUCCGGUGUGUAUAGUUGCAUGUUUUUGCUCCAUGUCAUCUCUAUGCUUGUGAUGGCAGACGGAUGUCAACUUCAAUCACUUGUUUGGCGUCCAAUCUUCAUGAGUUCCAAUUUCUAUGUUACUGGCCUUCUCAUUUCUCCAUAUAGUUAUUAAGGAAGAAACCCAAUUAAUGAAAGGGAUCUCCUUUUCGGCUUCUUUUUUCCGUUCCAAGAGAGACUUUACAGCAUUUUAGUCUUUCUUUUUCUAUUUUCGAUUCAUAUUAAUUUCACUGGGUUGCAUCUGCUAGAAAUUCUACGUCCAAAUUGAUCUUCUGCUUGUAAUUCUUCGUCUUAAUUUCGUCUUCAUUUUAAUGAAGAGAUAAAUUUGGAAUCAUUGAUGGUGUUUGUGCUCGUGCUUACGUUUAUCCAACAGAAAGCAAGUUUGCCGAUGAAGGCCUUCCGAGAUCCAGCCCACGUCUUUGACAUGAAAAUCCAACUUAGGAAGUACUUUGCCCACUUGAAACUCGGGGCCUUUAAAUUGUCAAAAAACACUAAAAGAUAAUUAAAGUAGGAAAUAUGGUGAUGACAUGGUUAAAUUGGUAGUCUUACAGCGUAGAAUUGGGAAGAUUGUGCGUACUUGCUGUCAUCAUAUUUUCGAAGUCUAUAUAAUGACUUCUACUAGCAGCGUUCUUAGAUCAAUCCUAGUAAUAAAUACAACUCGUUAUUUAUGAAAGUGAUUUUUUUAGGUUCGUUUGGUUUUUUUUACUGCAAGUCUUUGUAUUAUAAGGUCUUGUUGCGAGAAAAGAAAGCGGAAUAGAAGGAAUGGGAGAAUUUUGCUAAUAAUUCAAUUAAUGUGCAGGAAAAAAGCCAAGAAUAAAAGAGAAAAAAAUAUAUAUCAUUGUGGGAGAAUUUGGGGUUAAAAAGUUGACAGUAAAGCGUUAACAAGUACUGGUCGCAUAAAGUUGCAACGAUGAGUCUCAACUUUUCGUAUAUUUACUCACAAAUUUCACGAUCACCCCUAAACACAUGGAUUACUAAUCACGGAAUUAUGAGGACUCAGAUAAGAAUGAAGGAUUUCAUCUCCCUCGAGAAGUACAGAAAAACCCUAUUAGAAGGUCCAUAUACCCUUCCUUUAUCAUCGCCUCACCGGUGUUAAGUCUAGGAGAAGAUGCUGAAGGGGGACCCUCGUUUUACUUAACGUGCAAUUUGCUAGAUGAAAUCUAAAGUCUGCACUUAAUAUAUAUAUGACAAAUAAAUAGCAAACACGAGUUUAUGUAACAUCCCAACAAAUGUGCUGGUACAGUGAUAAAGAGGCGAAGUGAUCGGGUUGACCCAAGAAAGUUGUAAGGCCACAUGAACAAAGUUCAAGUGAAAGCUGUGAGGCCACAUGUACAGUCACAUAUAUAUAUACAUAUUUGUUCUUUUCCCCACUUUUGAUAGUUUUAUUGUCCAUGAAGCGAACUUCAGAAAAUUCGAAAAACGUUGAAAAAUCCGUAAAACGUUUUCCUAGAAGUUAUAUUUCAUGAAUCGAAUGAAACUCAAUGCUCUAUUUGUUUUUAUGGAAAAUGAAUGAUUGAGAAAAUAUUUUUCUAUAAAUAACCGCUUAUAUUGUUUAAAAUAAUUAGUCAAUGAAAAAUGUUUUCAGUAUUGAUAAUAAUUUAUUUUUAAACAUUUCUGUGAAAGGUGAAUAUUAUUUUUAGGAAAAUAUUUUUCUAAUCAUUCUUUUCUCGCGAAACAAAUGGAGUCUUAAAAAAAUGACAAGUCCUAUUGGAAAGUCAGAGACAACUGUAUAUAACUCAAAGAAACUGGAAGGCCGAUGGUUCGUAACGAAAACUUCAAUAAAACAACAAAAUAAGGUGGUGGAUAUACAGGAUAUCUUCAUGGUUGGAAAGUAACGAUGGGCUAUCUACGAGGAUGCUCCGUUUGUCUAAAACAGAAUUGCGGGAAAAUGAAGGAUCAAUGAUUUGCAUCAACAACUUGCGAUCAGAAUUCACACUGAACUCAUUCCAACAACCUACAUCGCUAACCAUCCAGCAUAUCGAGUCACUUAUCGGAACAACACGCUUCUGAAGAAAAACAAAUCAUCUUCGAACUACAAAAGAAAAAACACGCCCGCAAAGGCCAAUUCAAUAAGACAACCACGUGAGAAAUUUAGCUCCAUUACAAGACAGUUCUUUUGUUUCUUGGGCCAAGUAAAAUGAAUGAACCAUCUAGUUUCCCAGUUACGGUGAUUGAGACGCUUAAUAUGGACAGAGUAUCAAAAGCACAAACGUCAAGAGAAGUUUCAAACCCCCGGGGCAUAUAUACGGAUUCAACGAGAUAGAGAGCCAGAAUUAGAAGAAAAUGAGGGCAUCCUAAUGAGAAAUCUAUCCAAACCUUCACGCAAACGACCCACUGAAUCCAGUAUCCACAACAGGAUCAAAGCAGCACAAUUCAACAUCAGACAGCGUCACCGUCUAAGUCAAACACAUGAAUGACGCCGACCUGAAUUGCGAUUCAACGUGAUGAGAAACCCUGACCUGAGACGGAUUGCGAGGAGCUGGAUUUCCAGAUUCUGGCUCCAUGAACGGAGUUGUCAAGCCGGAGAACUCUCUCUAUCUGGAGUGAAACGGUAUUACCAGUGCGUUUUAUGAACCCUCGAAUUAUUCUAAGCUUGGCCGACCAAAACAUUACGCAGAAAAAGAAGUCGAAUCAUCCAAGAAAAUCAUCUGAUGGUGGCAGGAAGAGGAAAGCGAUCGAGAAAUUCCUUUGGCAGCCGCGUCACCCUGGACGCGUGAAUCAGCACGACAAACAAGAUGGAAAACAACUCUGGAAAACAGAGAAAUUCCUUCGCAGCUGCGUCAUUCUUAUGUUAUUACACGGAUUAAGCAUGGCAUAUGUGUUGAAUUCUCACAUUCACUAUUUUAGCUCUCUCCAUUAUAUAUUUGUCUUCUGUGAAUGGAAUGGAGUACCGUUGGUAUAAUUGUCCACAUAAUCAGACGGAUUUGAGUUUUACUUUUAAUCCCUAUGAUAAGAAUUUAAAGUGUUAUUUCUUUUAAUUUUUAACUAACUGCACCCUCAAUUGGCUAGUUAGUAAAUGCCUGUGUACCCCCUUUGAAUGGCUGGAAUUAUCAUUUGACUUUACCGAAAAAAGGGCACAAGCUUAUGCAUUUACCCAAAAAAAAAAAAAACGAAAAGAGUAAAAUCUAAAUUUAAUAGGCGGUAUCGGCGGAAAACUUUUAACUCGAAGAGACUGGAAAUGUGAGGAAAAAAAUUGGAUGUCAAUGAGCUACGGUUAUAUUAAGUUAGAUUUGUAAUCUACAUCAUCUUACUCGAAAUUUUAAUCAUCACGUUCAAUUUACUGCAAUAUUAUGAUUACACUAAACAUGAGGCAUAAUUGAAAUUUAGAUGGAUUAUUACCUUUAAAAGUAGGAUCUCCCUUUCCUUGUAGUAAUAUGAAGAGACCGUGAUACUCAAUAUCUAAUGGAUAAAUUAUCUCCUUCUGAAUUUAUUGGCCCCUCUGUUCCCUUUUGCCAUCCAACUUCGGGCAAUUAAGCCUAAUCUAUCCUUGAGAGCAUUAGACCAUGAAAGAUCGAUGACUAUGUGGGUCUCUCAAUUGCUGGUUUUGCACAUAAUUGUUAUAUAAAACGGUACUAAUAAAGGCGAAAAUUGGCAAAAUUAUUGAGCCAGUAUGUAGAGACACAAAUUGGUGUCCGCCUGGUCAAGAUAAUGAGAGCAUUUGGGUUUUUCUAAAGACUGAAAGGAAAUAUAUAUACUCAAGAAACUGUCUCUUGAUAAUGUGAGACUAGUGUUGUCUUUAAUCUCGUUUUGUUUUAUUAAUGAAUUGUUUCAUCAUGAGCAUGGCAAGCAGAAUCACACUUUUGGCGAGAGCACGAAUAUGCUUGGAUGACUCAACUUUGUCUCGAGUUUCAUGCUCUCUAGCGAUAUCUCAAGUUCAUGUUUUCACAUGAGAGACGACUUAUAAAAUAAAAGGAAUAAAAAGAAAGUAAGUCUUAUCCUUUACAAAAGUUAGACAUGACAUAUGGACGUAAGACCAGACAUUUAGCAAUGAACCCAUCAUUGACCCAUCAAAGGACAUGUUUAAAUGUUACAAAAAAAAUGAGGUCUUCCGAUCGUAAUGAUAAUCUCAAGUUAAUACGUAUAAAUGUGAUGUUAAGUCCUAUUAUAUCUUGGUGCUUUUUGCCCCUCCAAGCGCCUUAUCAUAACCUGUGGAUCUCCAUUGGAGUAUUCGUUGGUUGGGUUAAACCUAAAUCCAACCAAGAGAUUCCGCAUAUAAUUGUUGGUGAUCAAUAUCUCACUCUCAAUUUUGAUAUCAUCCAAUAAAAGAAACAAGUGAAAGAAAAGUAUGGUGAAGUGAUUGGAUUAGACGUCCCACCGACAUUUGCAAAUUGAUCAUAAUAUAAUGAUUUUGAUCCGAACACUCUGCGAGAAGGGCGUUUAACCUGAAUGAUCCAACCAACAUUUGCAAAUUGAUCUGAGUACAACGGCUUUGGUCCAAACACUCUGUCCCAUGUUAUGGGUUUCCGGCAACUACAGAAAUCAUCCGGGAAUCAGUAUUUUAAGAUAACCAAAGGUAACACAUGAAGAAGCACUUGGUCCAUGAUAUAGAGUCGCACGUGAUUGCAGCUGGAUAGCUUUUGAAGAAUGUAUAUAUCUCCAUGAUUUGAUUAAUGUUUCAUCUAUUAUAUUAUACGAAAUUUAAAUCAGAAAACGAUGAGAAGGCUGUAGCUGCAGUAUCUAUGAAAUAAUUUUCUUUCCAUCCUCUUUUUUGGAGAUUGAUCACAGAUUAGAGAGUUGUGACCAAUCUGUAAAUGUGUGCUACAUUACAUAUGUUGGCGAGAUAGGAAAGUUACUGAAGUCCUAAACUGGAGUGAAAUGGAGACGGCAUUUGGUGGACUAAACAUGUUAGGAAUGGGGGAACUAGAAAGAACAGAUUUCAAGUAUUUAAAUGACUGGCUGAGGAUAAUUUCCGAGUCGUGGUAUUAUGGUCACCCUCCUUACGCCCUUCAAAAUCCACAAUAGAGGAUACAUAAAUCAACUCUAUGCAAUUGCACGGAAACAAUGUUGAUCAGGUUUGAGCUUCGCCGGCAAAACCGACGUUCAUUUUUGUGGAAAAUCAUCUCAGGGAUCGAAUUGGUCCUCAAUGGCGAAACCUGACUCCUUUCAUCUAAUCCUGCAUUCAUUCUCUCUGCCUAGCGUCCUUUGCAUUUCGAAUUAGGGACGUCGAAGUUUCAAGACCUUGUUGGAUCCGGCGACAAAAAAAUUUCACCAAUGAAGACCCAGAGGCUGGUCAAACGUCAACAGCCCAGUUUGAUCUUAAUGGAUGCAAAGAAAAGAACAAGACGAGCUCGGUCCGAGAAAAGCCCCGCUUUGAUGGAUCUGGCUCUUCAUUAUUUUUUUAUUUGUUAUUUAUUAUAAAAUAAUAAUUUAUUUAUUAUUAUAAGUAUUAUUAUCUUAAUUUUUUUUACAAAGGAUGCAUGUUUGACCACCAUCGCGACGCAAAUGAGCAUUUUCCACAAUAUUAUGAAUAAUUAAAUGAGAUAGUACCAUUUUAGUCAAAUCCACAUUCAAUGAGAUUUUUUUUUUUUUUUUUUUUGGGUUGGUGAAUUCAAUAGGAUUCAAAAGUGUCAACAUAAUAUAAAUUUAGAACUCUCUUCCACAAGUUGACAGUUAUGGAAAAAUUAUGUGAAGUGCGUCUUUGGGUAAUGUGAUAAAUAUAACUAAUUAAAGUGUAGAAGCUAUAUGAACGUUUUUGUUUUUUUUUUAAUAAGAUCCAGUUUAGAAUCUGGAAAUUCUUGAAAUGUGAUUAUCUUGAUCUAGUAAGUGCAAUUUAUGCAAGGUCACUCAUGCAGCAAUGCCUAUAUGUUUGGUGUGUUUUUCAUGUAGUUGUGCUGGUUGAACACUUGUGGUCUUGGGACUAAAAGGAUGCCCAAAUUUCAUUUGUUUGAUCGUUGUCAUCGUCAUCAUUAUUCUUGCUAUCUCUUUUAGCAUUUGUUAGGCAAAUUUUGGAGGAAGCACCGGCAAUCAAAACUUAACAGAUCUCUUGGAUCUUGACGCAUAUGGUCAACUUAAGACCAAUCCUUGCUUUUCUUCUUCUUCUCGUGAUAGUAAUAAAUAGCUUAACUCAAGCCUUUGGCUCUCACAAGUAGCAUUGCUUGAGUCGGUUCUUAGUUGGAUGGUAAAUUAAGCCAUGCAAUGGACAUGAACAAUAAAUGCAUUGUGGUAGAUUGAAUCCUAGCAAGAUUUUUUUUUGGGUAGAUAUGUGAUUCGGGGAUGGACUAGAUGGCCUUUAGUCAAUCCAACAAAACGGUGAAUGAUUGUUGAGACUUAAAAGCUUGAAAAAAUGUGGCUCUUAGUAGAAUAGGAAAUGUUACUGCCCAACAUGAGUUGACAAUGACAAGGAAACUAGAAUUAUAAGUGGAAGAAUUUGCGACACUCCAAAUCUCACGUAAGAUGGGAAAGAACUUGAGAUAUAAGUUGAAACCUACUCCCAAGAAUCACCAUCUAUAUUCUUUUUUAGGGAGAUUGGCCCCGCUGAAUGCUCCAAGUCAUUACAUGUGUUCAUUUAGAUUGAGGAAUUGUCACUACCCAACAUGAGUUGACAACAACGAGGACACUAGAAUUAUAGGUGGAAGAGUUUGUGACACUCCAAAUCUCACAUAAAAUGGGAAAGAACUUGAGAUAUAAGUUGAAACCCACUCACGAGAAUCACCACUUGUAUACUUUUCUAGGGAGAUUGGGCCCGUUGAAUGCUCUAAGUCAUUACACGUGUCCAUUCAAAUUGAGUAAAUUUGUGUCCUCAUGUAAUAUUUGAUGGAGCAAAAUGAAGAUAAGAAAUUCCCUAAAGUUAGUCCUAAUGUAUCGCAUUAGAAAGUUAAUUCUAGACCCAAUCAAUAAAAGAUCCGCUCUAAAUGUGGACCGAUUGGUACUAUUUUUAAGGCAGCAGGCCCGACCCACAAGAUCACAACCUUAAGGUCAAUGAGCAGAUCAAUCCCUGAUCCAUGCUAAUGGUCCGAGAACAGAAUAAUAGGAACGACAUGUUAAUUAGAAUUGAAAAAUCAUUGUUCUAAAGAGCAUGAGAAACAUUGCACCAAACUGAAAUUAGAAUUAUUCAAUCGCAUCGUUGCCAAAUGCCAUGUCUUUCUUAGGGCUCCUGUGAAGUAGCUCGCAUCAUUAUCUACUAGUGAGAAGUGAAUAAUUCAACUUCAUUUGCGAUUAUCAUAUUUUUCACUUCUAGGAAGACUGUUUCUGAGGUGUUUUUUCGUACAAGUUCAGUGAAUAUUUCGAUUAUUUAGUAUUCAUUUUUUUUUUAGCAAUGAUAAUCAAGAAAACUGUAAGGGCAUGUAGAUUACUUUCUUGAGUUUGACUUAUAUGUAUUUUCUUAUGUUGGCUGACUUUUGUGACCAUCUACUAUUAACUAAGUCAGCAUGAGAUUUAUAACACAUUUAAAUAUCUUGCAGAUUACUUUUUUUUCCAAUAGUGAAAUUUAAAUUCUCAAAAAUAAAAUGUAUGUGUUGAGGUGUGAAAACUUCAAUCGAUCGGCGCACGGGUCAAAUUCUAGUUGUCUUAAAAGCAAGAGCAAUUACUCGGUCUUCUUCACUUUACUUAAUAAUGAAAUGUUUUUUCAAAAAAUGGUCAUACAUGUUCCAGGGAAAAAUUAGUACAAUAAUUUUUUGUUAAUUGAUUAGUUAGCGCCCUAAAGGUAAUUCUUUUGAAAGACAGUUAUUUUUAUUGAAAAGAACCUAGGGUUAUUGGCUCAACAUGUGAAACAUGCUCCUUUUUAACCGCAGGGAAAAUAUUAUUGUCCUUAGAGUAGGACUUGUAGAGUACUUUGGACCUUACAUGGCCACGUGAACCACGCCAUGUUUUUAGUUGCAAAUUACUCGCGACAUCGAUGUUACAUUGGAAAAAGAGAAAAGAAAAGUAAAAGCAAAAGGACGGCAAUAUUAUUGCCCUCUAAGUAGGGGUGAGCAGUGGUUUAGAGUCGACUUUGGACCGACCCUGGACCGGCCCAACUCUGCCGGUCCUGGUCCGGUUCCCAAGGGGACUGGGUCGGUCCUUGGUCCUGGAAUUCCAGGACCAAUACUGUGCGAGUUGGUCCUCGGUUCUGAGAGUUUUGGGUCGGUCCAACCCUGGACCAACCCUGUUUAUUAUAUUAUAUUAUAUUAUAUUAUAUUAUUUAUAAUUCUUUUAUAUAUUCAAACCUAAGUAAAAUUUAUGUUAUAUUAUAUUAUAUAUAAUUCUUUUAUAUAUAUAUUAAAACCUAAGUAAAAUGAUGUUAAAGUUGUUGAUUCCUCAUGCUCAUAGUCAUGGACAGACGGCAUCCAAUUCCAAAAGGCGUGAAGUUUACGCUGUAAAGGUCUUCACGGCCUCCUCCUCCACAGUCUAGACUCCAGAGUACAUUAUUCACCAUGAGGACCAAGGACUCCUCAUAGUCAUGGACUCGCGACGUCCAAAAUGACGCGAAGUUUAUGCCGUAAAUCUCCUCAAGGUUUUCUUCCCUAAAGUACGUUCUCUUCCAUUUUGUCUUCUUUGUUCUUCAAUUUACCAAAAUCAAAAGUAGCAACAUCCUGCUCGCCUCUGGUUGCCCGCGCCACUCACCUUUGACCGUGCGCGCUGCUGUGCGCUCACACUCACACUCGCCCUUUGCUGUGUCGCUAGCCUUGCUAAUGCUCGCCACUCACCACUCGCUGCUAGUCUCGCUCAAUGCUCGUCGCUUGCUGCUGGCAUCACUAAAUGCUUGCCGCUGGCCUCACUAAACGCUUGCCGCUUGCCAGUUGACGCUCACCCCACUCAACACUUGACACUUGUGCUCGCCACUCGCGCUGGUUGCCUCACUUAUCACCGAGUAAAUCAAAAGGAAAAAAGAAGAAGCCCUAAUUAGAAUGCUCAGCUUGCCCUUGCUUUCCAAACACAACUUGACUAGUGAUAUCUACUUUGUGCUUCAUUUGAGAUCUUGUAUUGGUAUUUAUAGUUUGGUUGCACAAUGCCACAUUGUCGAUGGAUGUGUAAUUUGAAUUUGUAGGUUUACUUUUUUAAGGAGUAUAAAAAACAAGACGAAAUAAAUUAUCGAUCAGUCCCGGGUUGACCCUGGAACUGAACCGAACUCAUUGGGUCGGUCCGGUCCUUGGUCCCAGGCUCAAUAGGGUCGGUCCUCGGUCUUAAAAAUUGAGGACCGACACUGUACGGGUUGGUCCUAGGGUUAGGGGGUGGCCCGGACCAACCCGGACCAUGCUCACCCCUACCUCUAAGGACCUAUAGUGGAUGGGGGACCUUAUAAUUGAGUCUUUGAUGCUUCCUAUCUGAAUAAAAUAACUGAUGGACAUGGAAGAUGUGAAAAGGCGAGGAAGGUCCUAAGUUCAUAAAAGUUCAUCCUAUCAAACGUCCCUUGUCACCAACCAAACAAAAAAAUGAAAGAAAAACGUUGUAUAUCCAUGUAAAAAGUAUCAUAUUUCUAACUAUAAAUGAUUCGUGACGUUAGCAUCAUUUUCAAAGAAAAAGGCAAAAGGACAAGCAUACAUUAUUGUCCUCGAAGGACUUGUAGUGGAUUUUGGACCUUAUUCGUGUCCGAUUAAAGCAAUGAUGGACAUGUGACGUGUGAAAAGACCAAGAUGACCCUAGAUUUGCAAAAGCUCAUCCAAAAAUUUCGAAGUAAGAAGGAUAUCAUUGUCAUAAUAAUUGUAGGAUGCCUAUUUUAGUACCAAAAUUUUUCAAAUAGAAAAAUCACCAAUUCAGUCCUAAAGAGGUCUAUUGUACAAAUUGAAAUAUAGUCUUUCAUCUUUCAAUUUGACCAAUGUAGUUUUUCUAAUUAAUACUUGCCCGAAGUUGUUGACAUGAUGGUCCAAUUAUCAUCAAUCAUCUUUCAUGGCAAACUGGGGAUCUAACAUGGACAAAUUUCGACUAUGAUUAAUAGAUACUACCUAAUCACAAACUCCAUUAGCAUUUUUCGGCCAAGAAUUUGGAUUUAUUAUAUUACUAAUAUUAUAAAUUCAAGUUAAGAAUAAAACUUCUGGUGAAAAAAAAAAUCAAGAAUAAAAUGAAAGAUCUUGAUCACCGAAUCACAAUCAAACUUACCCCUUUUGAGUAUACCAAUUCAACCAAUUGAUGUGAAGAUAUAAUAUUCAAUAUUGAAGCUUUGAAGAAUGGUGAUAUUUUAAUAAUGUUCAUAUCACUAAGCCACCUUUCCAAACUCACUGCUUAAACUACCUAACUUCUAUGGUUGUGUUUGGUCAUGUCUUAAUAAGCUAAUGUUCGAUAUAAUAGCAUUUGGUCGAAGUGAAUUCUCCAUCAAUUUUCUCAUGCUCAAUUUCAUGUUUGAAGGAUGAUAGAUCUUACCAUGCACUACGAUAAAUAUUUUCGAGUCUAAACUACUUAAGCUAAGUAAAAAAACGGAGGAGCUGAGUAUCAAAUCAGUCGGUAGUCAAAACAAUGAGUCAAUUUGUCGAAAUAUCACCGAUGUUAGUUGAUGAUCUCCAUUUGUGGAGAUGACUAAAUUCGCGGUCAAAUAGAGUGAUAUACCGAAUUAUAUAACAUAUUGCAAAUGGACCUUUAAACAAAUGGUCAUAUGCAACAUUAAAGAGAAGUUUGACAAGCUCAUAAUAUUCCAAUUUUAAUAAAUUGGCUUGUUAUUUUGCUAUCAUUGAAAGGGCCAAGACACUAUUUGUUGGAGAAACGGGAGGGCAAGAUUACACUCAAUCUUGGCCUUUCCUGAAGUUAAAGGGCAGGGCAUGGUCCGGGGGCUGAACAAAGCAUUGAUGGAUAACUUGCGACUGCUUGCAUUGACGAUGUUUGUGAGCUCCAGGUCCUUUUUCGACGUUGCUUGCGAGAUGGAUGACGACUGCUUCAAUUUUGACCCAUGGUACCAAAGAGUCGAAAUGCGCUGAGUGGGAGGUUUUUUUUUUUUUUUUUUCUGGAAUAAGUUAAGGAUUUUUGUUUGAGACUUAGAUUGGAUUUUGACCGAUGGUAAAAAUAAUGGAAAAAAAUAUCAUCUCUAUUUUGUAAAUGAUCGUACUAGACACAAUCGCUAGUUUGGAUUAACCGGUCCCUACAACUACAGAAAGCGAAUGCCAACUAUAGAGCGAUAAGAAUAUUAUGGUUGCCCUAUCAACAUCAACCUAUGGAUGGACAUGCUCCUUAUCGAAAGAGGUAAGUUUUCUUUUAGAAGCCAGAAUGAGUUCACUCUUGAUCAUAACAAGUGUUUACUUGAUCCUAAGAAUGAUGCAGUUGGCCUCUAAGGACCGCGCACUUGACCUAAACGAGAGCAUGGAUCAUGACGAGAAGCAUGCACUUCCCUCAUGCACAUCACCCUACAGAGCAUGCACCUUAUCCAUAAUAGGACUGCGUUUUAACAGGGGCCUCGUAAUUUCUCCAUAAACAAUGAUCUUUUACAUCCUGCCCUUUUUUUUUUUUCUGGGUCAGAUUGACACCAUGUCCUUAACUGGUUCAUGAAAUGGCGGCCAGACAACAACACGAAGUACUGUGCCACGGAGAGGGAAGAAGUACAAGAUGACAAGAUUGAAGGUACAUAAAUAUUAGUACAAAAAGCAAUUUAUCGAAUACCCUGUCAAUGAAGGAUAUUUCAAUGACACUAUCGAACCGAGACAAUUCGUGAUUCAUCAGUUGCGCGAAAACCAACGAGGAGAACUUUUCUAAAUUCCACAAGGAGCCUCACCACCUAUUAUUUCUAAGCAAUGACACUAUUGAACCGAGACAAUUCGUGGCCCGUCAGUUGCGCAAAGACCAACAAGGAGAACUUUUCUAAAUUCCACAAGGAGCCUCACCACCUAUUAUUUCCAAGCAAUGACAUUGUCGAACCAAGACAAUUCGUGGCCCAUCAGUUGCGCGAACACCAACGAGGAGAACUUUUCUAAAUUCCACAAGGGGCCUCACCACCUAUUAUUUCCAAGCAAUGACACUGUCGAACCGAGACAAUUCGUAGUCCAUCAGUUGCGCGAAGACCAACAAAGGAGAACCCUUCUAAAUUCCACAAGGAGCUCACACCUAUUAUAUCCACUCAUUUCGUCUUAACCACCACCUAUUUAUUAUCCACUCGUUUGUCCUUAACUAGUAGAAUCUCGCAUGCGUGGCACAUGUUAACACAAUACAUAUCUAUAACGACGUACAUAAAUCAAAUUUGAAUUAAAAAGAUUCGAGAUUCUUUAUUUGACUUCUAAGUGUCAUUAAGUAAGGGAUAUUUCCGCAAUUUUCAAGAGAAUUAUAAAAAAAGAAGAAGCAAAGUGACAAUUUCUCUUAUAAAUCAUACAUAAUGAGACAAUUCAUUAUUUAUAAAAUCUUUUGAAAAAUCUUUGAAUUUUCUUCAACAUGAAAUUAAAAAACACUCAUGUGAGAAAAGGAUAACAAUAACAUACAAACUAAAAUAAAAUAGCAAAGAAAUUGAAAAGUAUAAUAUAUGGAGAAAGAGAGGGAGUAAUUAAUAAAUUAUUUGUGCAAAAGGGCAAUGAAAAUAGAGAAGUAAUAUAUUGGCAUCUUCGGGUGGUUAAUAAAUGUUUUGGAGAUGAGUGAGUGAAUAUUAAAAAACGUUUAGAGAGUUUAGGGUUGGCAUAUUACUACGACGAUCUGGAAUCGUUCUCUCUGAAAUAUGAUAACUAAUGAAACUCCCUAAAAAAAGAAAAAACUUAGGUUAUUUUGUUAUUACGCCAUGCUACGAUUGUACGAAGUAGACAUUAAUAUUAACAUGAAAUUGUCAUAUCAAACAAACUUAGACACGUUCCUUGAUCAAUUGUUAUAAUUUUUUUUAUGAUUCAAAUAUCCAUCAAACUUCUCUCAUAAAGGCUUUCUUGAUGACAAUAGAAGGGCUUCGUUAUGUCCCUAAACCAUCAUUUCUCACAAAAACUUGUCUCGAAAAGUGCAAUCGAGUCCUAAAACUUUCCAAAAGUGCAAUUAAUGGAAGGACUUAGAUUGAACCACUUUGAUUAGUUUUAGGACUUGAUUGCACUUUUUUUUUAAAUUGUAGGAGUUAAUUGCACUUUGUGACAAGUUUUAGGAUUUAAUUGUAUUUUUUGAAAGUUUUAGGACUAAAUUGUAUUUUUAUGACAAAUUUUAGGAUUUUUAAUACACUUAUUUCUAUAUUUAUGUAUAGAGUCCUGAAAUCUGUACGAAUUGUCUUGCAAAUAACAGUAACAAAUAUUCUCGAAAAAGCAACCUCUUAAUUCGGUAAUAAAAAUGGUUUUAAUCGAUGGUAAAACAUACCCCAUGUAAUCCAAAAUCAAGUCAUCGUGUACGUAUAAAUAUUGUAGCCCCGGAAUGGAAGCUUUUUAUUUAUUUAUGCUGAUUGUGCACAUAAUAGAAAGAAUAAUGAUGAGGUGACCGCACCGUUACUCCUUGGAGAGUAACGUUGCUCCCCUAACCACAAGCUUAGAUUAAAAAAAUAAAUUAAAUAAAAUAGAAAAAUCCUAAGGAAUUGAAAAGAGUUUUAUUGAAAGCAUUAUCAACAUGAAAUAUUUUAUAUUUCAUGUAGAAAGACCAGUCCAAACAUUUUUAUUAUAAGACAAAUAAAUUUAGGAUUUCUAUUGACAACAUCACUAUUUAAAACAUUUUUCAUACUUACAGUCGUAAAAAAUUAUAUUCAUCAUUUAACAAAAUUAAAACAAUUACCAAAAUUAGCCCUUGAAUAUUUAUUUAUACAAUUUAAAGCAUUUAUGAAUUCAACUUAAGCCAAACCAAUCCAAGUUAACUCAAAAACCAAAAACAUGAUCAUUUUGUAACUAUCCAAAAUUGAAAUUUAUUUUAAAAUGUAUAGUAUAUUGAAUUUGUUUGAUUAAUUAUUUUGCCUCACUUCCCUUUUUUAUAUUUUGUAUAGCCCAACUUUUUCACCAUGCUAGUCAAAUUUCAAUUUAUCAUAUCUUAACUAAAUAAGUAUAUAUUGUGUCUACAUUCAACUGAUAUAACUAGUAUAAGCACCUAGAGAGGGGUGAAUAGGUGUAAAAAUAAUUUCUCGAGAUAUGAAAGCAAUACUGGACUAACAACAUAAAGGAAGCUUUCCUUUAGUUAACAAAUCGAACUAUGAUCAAAGUAAAACGAAGAGUAAGGAAGAGAAAAUUGAACACAAGGUUUAUAGUGGUUCGGCUUAUUUCAAGCCUACGUCCACUAUUCUGCAUUGACAGCCCACUGGCUGGAUUUCACUAUGAACAAAAGAGAUAUUACAGCACUCAUUUCCCUUGAUUCCACAGUGUAGAUAUUCUAUCACACUUCCUCAAGGUAUCUCAAAGUAUAGACUCUCUUUUGCGUACAAGAUUUCACUCAGCAAAUGAAUUGACUAAGAAUCAAAGAGCUUCAGACUUUGGAAUUCUUCUAUCGUACACCUUUUUGAACAACUGGAACGUCUUUCUCUUAUACUCCUUUAUGUCAUCAUACCCGUUGGCACUUACCAAAUGAAUUCUUCCAAUCCUCCCGUUGGACAUAAUCAAUUAAGAAGAUUAUUCAAGCUAUUAAAGGAGCAUUUCGAUAGCCCAUUUAGCUCAUUCUCAUUCAUCUUGUUCCUGAAAACCCAUUUAGCUCCAAUAAUAUAUUUACCUUUUGGUUUAUGAGUCAACUCCCAGACAUCAUUAAUGCUGAAUUGUAUGAGUUCUUCUUGCAUAGCUUCAAUCCAGCUUUCGUCAGAUAAAGCUUCUCUUUUGGGUUCUAUUUCAGAAAUAAGAGCCACAGCACUAGACUCUUCGCGCCUUUUGGAUCUUGUUUGAAUUCCUUCAUUAAUGUUGCCAAUAAUGAGGUCUUUGGGAUGACUGGACUUAUGCUUCCAGUUACUAGUUGAUUGGUCAGGUUGAUGAUCACUUCCUUCAUUUGAAUCUUCAAUAACCAUUUGUUGCUGGUUUCUUAAAGUCUGAGCUGCUUUUUGAGAUUUAGACUUUGUAAAGUCUGGAGCAGGUUCAGAUUCUUCAAGAUGAGUCUGAGCAGAUUCAUUUUGCAUAGAAUCCUGGAAUUUGACAUUCAUUGAUUCCUCCACAUAUUGACUCUUCUUGUUAUAGACUCUGUAGGCUUUGCUUGAGGAAGAAUAUCCAAGAAAGAUUCAUUCAUCUGAUUUUUCUUCAAACUUACCAACUCUAUCAUUUGCAUUUUUCAAUAUAAAGCAUUUGCAUCCGAACACAUGAAAAUAUGAAACAAUAGGCUUCUUUCCUUUGAAUAUCUCAUAGGGGUUUUUUUUUUUUUUUUCAGAAUAGGCCUUAGAAAAACUCUAUUUAUAAUGUAACAUGCUGUUGAAACUGCUUCAGCACAAAAACAUGAAGAGAUGUUACUUUCAAUUAAAAGAGUUCUAGCCAUUUCUUGAAGUGAUCUGUUCUUUCUUUCCACAACUCCAUUUUGCUCUAGAGUAUAUGGAGAUGAGAACACAUGCUGAAAACCAGAUUCAUCACAGAAUUUUGUAAAAUCAUGAUUUUCAAAUUCACCUCUAUGAUAUGUUCAUAUACUUGAGAUAACAUACUAUUUUUCAUUUUGAAUAUUUUUUUGCAAACUUUUCAAAGUAAGAGAAAGUUUCAGACUUACUUGCCAGGAAAUAUACCCAAGUAAAUCGUGAGUAAUCAUCCACAAUUACUAGGCAAUAUUUCUUACCUCCAAUACUCUAAGUUCUGGUAGGUCCGAAAAGGUCCAUAUGCAGAAGCUGCAGUACACGAUUAGUGGAAACUUGAUUUAUUGGUUUAAAUGAAUUUCUUACAUGCUUUCCCAAUACGCAUGGUGUACAUAGAUCAGACUUUUGGUAUGAUAAUUUAGGUAGACCACGAACAAGCUUCUUUGCUGAAAUUUUGGCUAUUUGCUUCAUAUUGAUAUGCCCAAGCUUUCUGUGCCAUAAGCUUGCUUCAUCUUGAAUUGAGAUUAGACAUUGCGAUUAAUCUGGUUUCACAUCCAAGAGGUAGAUAUUCCCAUGUCUUCGGCCCAUGAAUGACUGAGUAGAGUCUUUACUGAUUCCUGAACAUAUUCCCUCUUGAAAAUUGAUUUUGAAACCAGUGUCACACAGCUGACUGAUACUAAGCAGAUUGUAGUUGAGUCCUUUCACUAGGGAAAUAUUGCUUAUUGUGAGGUUUCCAAUUUUUACAGUUCCAAAUCCCACAAUUCUUCCUUUGCUGUUUCCUCCAAAUGAGACUUUUCUACCAUUUACUUUAACGAGCUUUAUAAAGCAAUUUGAAUCUCCUGUCAUAUGUCUUGCGCAUCCACUAUCCAGAUACCAUUUAACAUUUUUCUUGAUAGUGACCUGCAUUUAAGAAAGAUACUCAAGCUUUUUUUGGUACCCAUAUUUUCUUGGGUCCAUUGAUGUUAGUAUGAUAUGCGGUUUUUGCCCAUACUUUCUUAACAGCUUUCCAAAUCAUAGGACAUUCUUUUUCAAAAUGAUCUGCACUAAUGCACUUUGAACAUCUGAGAGCAUUUCGACCAACUGGUUUUACAAACACUUUUUGAAAAUGAUUUUUGUAAAAUGUCUUUGAAGGUCUUUGCUUAAUUAUUUCCUUCACUUUAGGAAAAUCAAUUAAAGGAAUGGUUUCUGCUAUCAUUCCUAAACCAGAGUUAUUGAAAUAAGGUCUUUAUGCUGAAAGAAUUUUUUUCAAGUUUCUCAAAUCCUAUUGAAAAUCUUUUUGAAAUAUUUGAUAAGUCAUUUUUUAAAAAUGCAUUUUCUUUCAAGAGAUUAUCUUCGCUUUCUUUAAGAGAAGAAACAUUCAUAUCUAAACACUUCAACUUUUCUUUCAAAACAUUUUCCUGUUGUUUUAGUGCAGAGUUUUCCUUUUUAAGUUCGGAAAUCCUUUUAAGAGAAGUCUUAAGACUAAAACACAGCUCAUCAAUGUAUUUAGAGACUUUAACAGGAAUUUUAAAGUUACUUACCUCAAAUCCAUUAUCUGAAUCUGAGUCUAUCUCGGAGUUUGAUUCAGAAUCUGAUUGUGCCAUUAGACAUAUAUUGGCAUAAUCAUCAUCACUUUAUUCACAUUCUGUAUCACUCCAGGUUUCUGCUUUAAGAGCCUUUCGAUACUUUUCAACUUUUCAUUUCUUCUUUUUCAGAAGAGGAUAGUUGGGUCUGAUGUGUCCCUUUUUCUUACAUUCAAAGCAUACUACAUCUUUGUUUGAUUAAUCAUCAUCAACAGACUUGGUCUGUUGCUUUUGAAAAUUAUGUUUCUUUGGAUUGAAUCUUAUUCCUUUUAUGUUAAGCUUUCUGAAUCUUCUUAUCAUGAGAACAAGCUCCUCAUCAUUCAUAUCGUCUUCAGAAUCUGUGACAUCAGAAUCAUCAUUGGAUUUUAAUGCAAUGGAUUUCUUACCUUUAGGAUCUUCGUCUUCAUUGAUUCGUUCCACUUCAUAAGACUGAAGAGUUCCAACCAACUCAUCGACAGAUAGUGGCAUGAUUCUUUGUGUCUCUCUUAUUGAGGUCUUUAUGUGAUUCCACUCCUUGGAAAGUCCACGCAAUAAUUUGUUUACCUUCAUGGGAUCAGAAAUUGGUUGACCUUGAUUUUGAAGACCAUUCACAAUUUCUGUAAAACAACUAAACAUGUCAGUUAUAGAUUCUCCUGAUUUCAUUUUGAAGGCUUCAUAUUGACCGAGGAAAAUAUUGAUUCUGGUCUCUUUCACUUGAUCAGUUCCUUCAUAGGUGAUAUGUAAUCUAUCCCAGACUUCUUUUGAUGUAUCACAAGAAGAUAUUCUAUUAUAUUCAGUAGGUGAUAAAGCACAAUAUAAAGAAUAAAUUGCUUUUGCAUCAAGAGUUUGUCUCUUGAUUAUCUCUUCCUGAGUCAUUUCACUUGACUCGACAAUUUUUUUUCCUCUUUCUGUGACAGAUGCAGCUUUAGGAUUGAUUCCUUUUUCUACAACGUCCCAUUCCAGAGGAUCCUUUGAUCGUAGAAAUGCUUUCAUCUUGUUUUUCCAGAUGUUGUAAUUCUUUCCAUCAAAGUAAGGUGGUAUGGUAUUGCUCUGCCCUUCCAUCAGCCCUGGAGCUAGCAUACGAGCCAUGGAUCUUUAACUCUGAAGUAAAACACUUCAAACAAAGUGAGUACACAUGCUCUAAUACCAAUUGAUAUAGCUAGUAUAAGCACCUAGAGGGGGGGUGAAUAUGUGUAAUAAUAAUUUCUCAAAAUAUGAAAGCAAUACUGGACUAACAACAUAAAGGAAGCUUUCCUUUAGUUAACGAAUCGAACUAUGAUCAAAGUAAAGCGAAGAGUAAGGAAGAGAAAAUUGAACACAAGGUUUAUAGUGGUUCGGCUUAUUUCAAGCCUACGUCCACUCUUCUGCACUGACAGCCCACUGGCUGGAUUUCACUAUGAACAAAAGAGAUAUUACAGCACUGCUUUCCCUUGAUUCCACAGUGUAGAUAUUCUAUCACACUUCCUCAAGGUAUCUCAAAGUAUAGACUCUCUUUUGCGUACAAGAUUUCGCUCAGUAAAUGAAUUGACUAAGAAUCAAAGAGCUUCAGACUUUGGAAUUCUUCUAUCGUGCACCUUUUUGAACAACUGGAACGUCUUCCUCUUAUACUCCUUUAUGGCAUCAUACCCGUUGGCACUUACCAAAGGAAUUCUUCCAAUCCUCCCGUUGGACAAAAUCAAUUAGGAAGAUUAUUCAAGCUAUUAAAGGAGCAUUUCGAUAGUCCAUCAAUCCUGCUCAUCCAUACAAUCAGGAUCUUGAUUUCCAUAAGUAGAACAUUCCAAGAAUACUUCGCCAAUCAUCGGAUCCUUAAUCAAUCUUAAUUCGAAUAAAGGAAUCCGUUAUGUCACAUCCAGCCAAGAGCUAUUCUCCAGUCGAUAAGGCCAAAUCCUUAAUGAAGUAGAUAUGGAUAGUCUGUCUUCAACGGAUUAGAAACUGUCAGUGAGAAUAGACUUUGAGUCUUGAGUUUGGUAGAUCCGGAGGUCUUCAGACUUUAAUAGAAGAGUCUGCAAAACUUCAGACUAGACUGAUAGAAACGUUUUGUCAGCUUCAAAAUAUUCCAGAAAGAUUUCUCCAACAUCAACAACACAACAAGACUGAUUGUAGUGUACAAAAUUUUUCACUUAUUCUAUAAUGUCUUGGAAUGUAAUUAAAUUAGUGAAAUACACGUGUGGAUUACUAAGAUGACUUUCUUUAUGUCAAUAUAUUGUUGCAGGUACACUAUGAAGGAUUGAGUUUUACAUUUAAAUAGUUAAUCAAAGCUGUUAAAAAAAGUUCACAGGCAUAAGUAUAUUUCCCUUUCGUUAAUUUUUAUUGAAUUGUCCAAAUUCUAAGAAAAUUUUGUUCAGAUUUUCUCUGAAAUUUAUGUGGUUGAAAAGGCAGCGUUAUUGCCGUCAGCCCAGCAAGGUCCUAAUAGAAAUUGUAGCUCAAAGAGUAUAUAUUCCGUAUGUAGAUUUGGCAUUCAUUUUACUAAAAAAAGUAAUACAGGAUAAAAUUAUGCAAUAUUAAUGAACGAAAUAAUUUAAAGAAAUCUCUCCACUCUACAUAAAAACAUCUCCAUGCACCAUUGUAGAGGAUAAAAAGGUUGUCUCUUUCAUCCACUUUGUCUCUUUAUGCAAAUCAUCUCUACUUCCUCAACUCUUAUAAUAGCUCGAUGGGCAAAAAUUCAUUUAUAUAUGGGAUGAGGAAAAGCAAAACAGAUUUGAAUGCAAAAAAAAAGAUGAAGGAGGGAGAGCCUCGAAGAGCAAUCAAUGGAGAAAGAAACACCAGGAACUUUUUACAGGAAUAUGUAAUUAUCAACGGCUGAGAUUUAAUACCAUUCAUCCAACAAUUUAGAACCUUAAUAAAGACCCAAACAUGAGAAAGAAAGAGGAGAGAGGUAUGGACCAUGGAACUCUGUAGCCUAACCUUUGUUAAUGCCUUAACUAAAAGUCUGAAAGUGAAUGUUAGAAUAGGAUUAGAGUAGGACCGAGCGAAAAAAAAAACACUAAUCUAUUUCUUGGUAAUUGGUAGCGGACUGCUCUAAAUCAUCUCUAGUCAAAACUAAAUAUUAAAAUCCGACCAAAGAAAAAACUAUUAAAGAAAGACUAUUGCUGAUUAACUCAAUCAAGACAAGUAUAUAUACGGAGAUGGAUGAUGAGGUUUUAGUCUUAAACCCGCUUCUUGUCUGCCAUUAUUAGGAGAAAGAAUGGAAAGAACAACAAUAGAGGUGGAUGGGCAUUACGUAACAGUUAUGCACACUAUAACGCUAGGAUAUGUAAGUAUAUAUUAAAUUCCACCUAUUUGAACGGCAGAUGGGCAUAUUGAAGUUAGGCUGCUCCUCUUUAACUGGGAUAAAACAAUAAACAUGUAUAUUUUUUGACCAAGGAAGCUUUGCUAUGAUAUAAUCUAUGAUAUAAUCAUUGUUGCUUGGUAAAAAGGGGCAAAAAAAAAAUAAAAAAUUGAAGCUUGAACGUUUGCAAUUUAAUUCGAUCUAUAAUUACCCGAUUCUCUUUUCCAUCUACUAUAAUCUGAUUAUAUAUUCUUGGGAGAGCAUAUCUAGGUGAUGACGACAGAAUUGAAGAGAAACUAACAAAUUUUUUUAAAUUAUUAUUAUCAUCAUUUAAAAAUAAUUUUUUAUAGUGUUUUUGGACACUUAUUGAGCAAUAUGGGCCCACUUUUUUACCUUCUGAACCUUUGGCGUCUUUAAUAAUUCCAAGACUUUGGUCCCAUUUCCGACCAACUUGCUUCAGAGAAAUUGAGGCAACAAAAAUGAAAUUAAAUCAAAAGGGACAUGAUGAAAUGCAACGGCAGCUUCUUCCGAGAAAGAAAGAGCCCUUUAGUGCUUAAAAGUCUUUUGAUUCGCUCCAUCAUUUGAUGCUGUUGUCCUGGCCGGAGUAACUUCGGUUCCCUCUCCGCUCUGCACACUUUAUUUCAACCCUUCUGGGCACUCUUGUUUAGUCCUCUACCGCUCACGAAUCAAGCCAUGCCCAUCACAGAGCUCUUUCUUGGCGCCUUUCUUCAGGUGUUGUUCAAUAGGUUGGCCUCUCCGGAGCUCCUCAACUUUGCACAGUGUGGGGGGAUUGAUAUGCGGUUGAAGAAAUGGGAGAAGAUGCUGGAGAGUAUCAAGGAGGUGCUGGAUGAUGCAGAGGAUAGGCAACUCACCGGCCAUCUCGGGGUGAAGUCGUGGCUAGAAGAUCUUAAAAACUUGGCCUAUGACAUCGAAGACUUGCUUGAUGAGUUCGUCACAGAAUCCACUGAAAGCAAGUCCAAGGCAGAAUCCAACACUAGCAAGGCGUGUUCCCUUCUUUCCAAUUGUUGCUUUAGAUUGAGUCCAAGAGAAUUUAUGCUCGACCACAAAAUGAGAUCUAAGAUAGAAGAGAUGGAUGCCAAAUUACUGGAGAUCAUAACUCGAAAAGACAGUCUGAGCUUGAGAGAGAAUAACGAGAAGCAAUCAACAAAUCGUUUACAGGAUAAGCCAAUUCCAACUACACAUUUGACUGAGGGUUGUUUUGUUGGUAGGGAAGAAAAAAAAAUGGAGAUUCUCAAAUUACUAACCGAAGAAAAAGAUGAUAGAAUAACUACGAACAUAAAAGUGAUUCCCAUCGUAGGGAUGCCGGGUCUUGGGAAGACAGCUUUGGCUCAGCAAGUCUUCAAUGAUGCUAGAGUGACCGGUUACUUUGAUGCAAAAGCAUGGGCUUGUGUUUCUGAUGAUUUCGAUGUGCUUGCUAUUACGAAGAGUAUCCUACAAAAAAUCGACUGCACUUUGUCUAGUGAAGAUAAGGACCUAGAUUGGCUUCAGGAUAAGCUCAAACAAAACCUUUCAGGGAAGAAGUUUCUUAUCGUUUUGGACGAUGUUUGGAACGAGAAUUAUGGAAACUGGACUAUCCUCUUGAAGCCUUUUCAAUCGGGAGCCAAGGGAAGCAAAAUCAUCGUCACGACCCGUAAUUCCCAUGUUGCUGAAAUAGCCGGUGCUCGACCUUAUACUCUUAGAGAGUUGUCACGAGAAGCUUGCAUGACUCUACUUGCAUUUCAUGCUCUUGGAGUCAAAAAUUUUGAUCAUCAUCCUUAUCUUGAAGCAUUAGGUCUCAAAAUAGUGGAAAAAUGCAAAGGGUUGCCACUAGCUGUAAAGACAUUAGCUGGGCUACUACGCACUAAAGUUGGUCCCCUUGAAUGGCAAGCUGUAUUGAACAGCAAGAUUUGGGAUCUACUGAAAGAAAGAAAUGACAUCCUUCCAGCUUUGAAACUUAGCUACCUCCAUCUCCCUUCCAAUCUGAGGAGAUGCUUUGCUUACUGUGCUAUAUUUCCCGAGGACUAUGAAAUACAACGGGACGAAUUGAUUCAUUGGUGGAUUGCAGAGGGCUUGGUGGACAAAAAAGAAGCAAAGAGUCAAUGGAAUACAGGUUUGAAUUAUUUCAACGAGCUAGUAAACAGGUCGUUAUUACAAAAGUCAAAUAGCAAUGGAUCACAAUUCUUAAUGCAUGAUCUUGUGAAUGACCUGGCAAAACUAGUUGCAGGUGCAUCCCAUUAUAGUUCAGGGGAAUUUGAGUUUGUGGAUGAUCACAAUAAUGCGUCUUUAGCUCGUCACGCCUCAUUCCUUCCAAGAGAGUAUAUUAUGCCAGAAAGACUCAAGAUAUAUCAUCAAAUGCAAGGACUUAGGAGCUUCAUAUCGUUAGGGAAUCAAUGUCAAUUUUCCUUUGUGACCCAGAAAGUGCUAUAUGACUUGUUGUUGAGAUUGAAGUACUUAAGGGUGCUUUCAUUGAGUCACUAUUACAUCAACGAGGUACCAGAAUGCAUUGGCAAACUAAGGCACCUAAGGCACCUUAAUCUAUCACGUACUAGUAUUGAAACCCUUCCAAAGUCGAUUGUUGCAUUGCACAACCUAGAAGCUUUGAUGUUGCAAGACUGUUACAUGCUUAUCAAAUUACCUGAAGGUAUGGAAAAACUUAUCAAUCUAAGAUUUCUUGACAUUACCAAUACUUCAAGUCUAAGAGUAAUGCCACUAAAUAUAGGUAAUUUAUUGGGUCUUGAGAUCUUGUCCAAGUUUAUAGUUGGAACGGAAAAUGGGUCAAGGUUGAAUGAGUUAAAAAACCUAAAGAACCUUCAAGAGGAAUUGUGCAUCUCUGAUUUGCAUAAAGUUCAAGAAGCUAGAGAAGCCAAAGAUGCCAAUUUACUCAUGAAGGAGGGAAUAUGCCGGUUGAACAUGCAAUGGUGCACAAAUUUUGAAAAUUUCCGGAAUGAAGAGCUUGAAACAAAGGUCCUUGACUUUCUUUGCCCUCACCAAAACCUUGCACAUCUUAAAAUAUCCUACUAUGGCGGCCUAAAAUUCCCAUCUUGGUUAGGUAGUCCGACACAUGUUAACAUAAUGCAUUUACAUUUAUAUGGGUGUCAAAGGGUCAAAGAAUUACCAUCGCUUGGGCAGCUAUCUUCGUUGAAAGAAUUGUACAUCAAAGGUUUAAAUGCAAUAUGCAUGGUAGGGUCUGAAUUUUAUGGAAGUAAAAGUCCUUUUCCAUCCUUGUUGACUUUGGAAUUCAAGGGCAUGCCAUUGUGGGAGGACUGGUCUCAUUGCAUCAACACUGAAGAAGUUGGAGUUGUAUUCCCUCGUCUUGAGCAUCUCGUCAUUCAGGAUUGCCCUAUGCUAAUCGGAAGAUUGCCUAGUCAACUAAGCUCCCUUGUAAAGCUUGAAAUUAACUCAUGUCCACGUGUGGAAGCCUCGCCAUCUUUCAAUGGCCUUUCAUCUCUCAGUGAAUUAAAAUUCGAAAGUUGUAAUGAGAGGGUGCUGCAUAGUUUGGUAAACCUGGCGUCUCUUACUACUCUAAAGAUAAAUGAUGUUGCUGAACUCAUGUGCUUAAAUCAUGGGUUUACAAGCUCCUUGAUCAAGCUAGAGAAGUUGGAGAUCGAAAGGUGUACAGAGUUAAUAUAUUUGUGGCGAGAUGGAGAUGUAAUUCAGAAUCUCAAUUGUCUAAAGAGAUUAGUCAUAUGUAGUUGUCCAGAAUUCAUAUAUUUUGUGGCUAAAGAAGGAGAUAUAGAGCUGCCUAGCAACCUUGAGACUAUCAAAUUGGAAAAUUGCAUCAAUUUAGAGAAGCUCCCAAGCAAGAUGUACACCAUCUCCUCUCUUAAAGACUUGACAGUUAGUGGCUGUCCAAAACUCGUGUCCUUCCUUGAAAUAGGUAUACCGACAUCUCUAAUAUCAUUAAAUAUCGAGAACUGUGAGAUGUUGCAAUCUUUACCCAGAGAAUUAAGUGCUCAUCUAGAUGAACCAAGCAGCAGUAGUAGCAAUACCCGCAGUGACAUUAUAUCUUGUCUACAAGACUUAAGCAUCUCCGGAUGCAAUUCUUUGCCAUCCUCUCCAUUCAGCGAGGGUAUAGUUUUACCCACGACCCUCAAGAGGCUUGACAUUUGUCACUGCAGUGGAGUGGAGUCGCUUGCGGAGAUAAAACUAGACCCUCUUCAGUUUAUUCAAGAGAUUAGAAUUUGGGGUUUGGAGAAUUUGAGAAGCUUACCCCAGGGUCUACACACGCUGUCUCGGCUCACUUCCUUGAGAUUGAGUGGCUGUCCUGUUUUGGAGAUGGAGUGCUUCCCUCCUCUUCCUCUCGGAAUCUCUACGUUUGAGCUUGGGAAUUGUCCGAAGAUAAAAUCGUUACCUAAUCAGUUGCAUCAACUCUCGAGUCUUCGACAUCUAUCAAUUUGGGGGUGUGAGAGAUUGACGCGCUUCCCCGAGGGAGGAUUGCCGCCCCAGCUAGAGAGACUUUGGGUAAUUCGAUGCAAGAAUAUGAAACAGCCGGUGAGGGAGUGGAUUACCCCCCUUACCUCCCUUCGAAAUAUGACAAUCGACAGCAGCGUGGGAGGAGUGGGAGAGGAGGAGGAUCUUGUGCUUCCGCUCCCUUCCUCUCUGCUCAAGCUCUCUAUCUUACGUAUGGGGAAAGUGGAAAAACUAUCCAAUAGUCUCCCUCCCUCUCUCCGGUUCUUGGAGAUCUCCAAUUGCCCAAAGCUGAGGGAAUUACCCCAGGAUGGCCUCCCUCCCUCCCUAGAAGAACUCCUUAUUUGGAAUUGCCCAAUUCUGAAGGAGCGAUGCAGGAAAGGGACUGGCUGCUAUUGGCCCCUCAUCCGCGAAAUCCCAUAUAUUCAAAUACCGUGAACCCUAGCUCUUUCAUCAUCUGUGUCCUUCCCCCGUUGUGGUGUGCACCUCAAUCGCCACCGCUGCUUCGACUCUCCACUCCGUCGUCGUCCUCACCUCCAUCUCCAUCUCCAUCUCCAUCUCAUGAAUAUAUUUCAAUUAAAACAGGUAAUCGAUCUUUCCGAUCACUACUCUUCAAUACUCGUAGUCACUUCUCUUUCUCAGAUUUGGCAUCACUUUUCCUCCGAUUCUUUCGUUCUCGGUGUGCUCCGCCUCAUUCUCCAAGAUUCUUUCAAUCUUGC